rnacentral:lncRNA from 1 species
CGGAGCUCCAGGGGACCCCCCACCCAGACCCCCGGCGCCACCUUCCCGCACCCGAGCUGGGAGUGGGUAGUGGUGGGGGCCAUCGAGCGGGUUAAAGGGCGCGUGCACAGUGCACCGCCAGGGGAGGCGGGGAGGCGACGGCGACGGCCACACUCAGAGCCACAGGGUCACCUGGACAGGGGUCAGCCAGGCCUUAAGGGAAGAAGGAAGGAUGACCUUAUCUCUAGAAACUCUCAUCAAUGUGGAAGGCAAGGAGUCAAGCCUGCAUAAUAACCUGAUUCUUGUUUACUGUGCUUGUCUGGUAAUCUCCCAUAACUGACUCUCCCCACCCCCAACAUCCUCCUUUGUCUUUAGCUGUGGGUGGUAUUUAAGAUAAGAACUUCUGCCAUUUUGGGUAGUUGCUCAGUUUGCCUGAGCCUCUCCAAUGUAUACAUGAUAUAAAGCUUUGUUUAAUUCUCUCUGUUAUUCUGUCUCAUGUGAAUUUAAUUCGUUUUCUGGCCAGAAGGACCCAGAGCAGGUAGAGGAAAUGUCUUCCUCCCCUACAAUGUAAAAAACUCUUACUACUCAAUAAGACAAACAACUGGUAAAAACAUAGCAAUAGACUUGAAUACAUACUUCUCAAGAUAUAUGAGUCACCCAUAAGCACAUGAACAGAUGAUGCUAAACUUUAUUUGUCAUCAGGGAAAUUCCAGUUAAAACCACAAUGAGAUACCACUUUGCACCCACUAGACUGAUAAAAUUUAAAAGAACUGAUAAUACCAAAUGUUGGUGAGAUUGUGAAUUAACUGAAACUAACUUCCAUACACUGCUGGUAAGAGUGUAAAAUGGUACAACCACUUUGGAAAACAAUUUGGUAGGUUUUUUAAAAUUAUUUUUCAAUGAAGUUAUACAUUUACCAUAUGACCCAGUAAUUCCACUUCUAGGUAUUUACCCAAAAGAAAUUUAAAAACAUAUCCACACGAAGACUUGCAUAUGAAUGUUCAUAGCAGCUUUAUUUGUAAUAGCCCCAAACUAGACCCAAAUGUUCAUCAGCAGGUGAAAUACUACUCCAGUCAUGUCUUGCUUAACAAUGGGGUUAUGUUCUGAGAAAUGUGUUGUUAUGCAAACAUCACAGAGUGUACUUACACAAACCUAAAUGGUAUAGCCUACUACACACCUAGGCCAUUUGGUAUUAAUCUUUUUUUUUUCUUUUAAAGAUUUUAUUUUUCCUUUUUCUCCCCAAAUCCCCACAGUACAUAGUUGUGUAUUUUUAGUUGUGGGUCCUUCUAGUUGUGGCAUGUGGGAUGCCGCCUCAGCAUGGCUCGAUGAGCGGUGCCAUGUCCAUGUCCAGGAUUCGAACUGGUGAAACCCUGGGCUGCCAAAGCGGAGCGCGUGAACUCAACCACUUGGCCACAGAGCUGGCCCCUAUUUAGUAUUAAUCUUAUGGGACCACGCUCAUAUAUGCGGUCCGUUGACAGAAAUGUCGUUAUUUGGCACAUGGCCAUACUACUGCUAUUGCUAAUAAAAGUGAUAUAUCCAUACAAUAGAAUGCUUCUCAGCAACAAAAAAGAACGAACUCCUUCUGUACACGAUAACAUGGAUGAAGAUCAAAAAUACUAUGCUGAGUGGAAGAAGCCAGAACAAAAGACUACAUACUGUAUGAAUCCAUCAUAUGAAGUUCUAGACCAGUUGUAAGUCCUUUUAGUUCUUCUGUGUGAACUGCCACCACAGCAUGGCUACUGACAGACGAGUGGUGUGGUUCCGUGCCCAAGAAGUUAACCCCGGGCCACUGAAGCAGAACAUGCUGAACUUUAACUGCUAGGCCGUCAGGACUGGCUCAAAACCAUCUUGAAAAUGAAGAACAAAGUUGGACGACUCACGCUUCUUAAUUUCAAAACUUCCUCCAAAGCUUCAGUAGUCAAAACAGUCUGAUACUGGCAGAAGGAUAGAUAGAUACUUCAAUGGGAUAGAAUUGAGAGUCCAGAAAUAAACUCAUAAAUCUAUGGUCAAUUGAUUUUCAACAAGGGUGCAAGACCAUUCAAUGGGGAAAGGAUAGUAUCUUCAAUAAAUGGUGCUGGGACAAUUAGAUAUCCACAUGUAGAAGAAUUAGGUUGGACCUUUACCUCACACCAUUUACAAAAGUUAACUCAAAAUGGAUCUAAGACCUAAAUGUAAGAGUUAAAACUGCAAAACUCUUAGAAGGAAACAUAGAUGUAAAUUUCUGUGACCUUGGAUUAGGCAAUGAUUUCACAGAUAUGACACCAAAAGAACUAGCAAUCAGAUAAAAAAAUAGAUAAAUUAGGCUUCUUCAAAAUUAAAAAUUUUUGUGCUUCGAAAGACACCAUCAAGAAAGGGAAAAGACAGCCAAGAGAGUGGGAUAAAAUAUUUGUAAAUCAUAUUUCUGAUAAAAGACUUGUAUCUAGAAUAUAUAAAGAACUCUUACAACUCAACAGUAAAAAAGACAACUCAUUUAAAAAGAAAGGGCAAAAGAUUUGAAUAGACAUUUCUGCAAAGAAGAUAUACAAAUGACUAAUAAGCACAUGAAAAUAUGUUCAACAUCAUUAAUCAUUGGGGAAAUGCAAAUCAAAACCACAAUGAGAUACUACUUUACACCCACUAAGAUGGCUGUAACAAAAGACAGACAAUAACAAGUGUUGGUAAGGAUGUGGAGAAAUUGGAA